GAGAGAGAGAGAGAGAGAUGAUAAUAGUGCUAGAAAAUAUCAAAAAAUUAGUCAGGCGGUGGCGGGCGGUGAUGAAACAUCUGUUAAUGGCAAUGGUUUCAUGGAUGAGGAUGGGCAUAUGGGCAUGUUAAUAGUUCUGUCUUGUGAAUGGUGUAGAAGAGUUGAAAUUUUGGUGACAUGCAGCAUUUGAGAAUUUGUGAACUGUUUCUUUCCAGAUCCAGCUAGAAGCGUGAUUAGUUCUGUUUUUACAAAAUACAACACAGUGGCACUAAAUGUACCAAUUAAAAAAUUGUUUUGAAGAAACUUGUUUUGCAUAGUGGCAGGUAAUUAUAUGUUUGAGUGGUUGAAAACUUGAUGGAUUUAGAUUACUGCCACUUUGGUUGACACCAUACAUUAUCUGCAGUGUAUUGUUGGAACUCUGAUGCAUAAUCAGUUACUCAUGCUUUUAUAGUUGAUGUCUUACUGAGGAUUGUUUUGCAUAUAAUGGAAAACCUUUUUCUUUCCCUAAAUAUAAUUUGAAUUUCUGUGAUCUUGCUCAGGCAUCAAAAUUCCCAUUUAUUG
rnacentral:misc_RNA from 1 species